UCUCCGUAGGUGAACCUGCGGAGGGAUCAUUACUGAGUGAGGGUUUAACCGCCCGACCUCCAACCCUUUGUGAAUCGUACUCGUUGCUUCGGGGGCGACCCUGCCCUCUGGGCGUCGGGGCCCCCGGUGGCUCACACCUCAACUCUUGCAUCUGUGCGUCUGAGUAACAUAUUGAAUCAAUCAAAACUUUCAACAACGGAUCUCUUGGUUCUGGCAUCGAUGAAGAACGCGC
rnacentral:misc_RNA from 1 species